GGCGCGUUCGUCUAGUGGCCUAGGACACUGGAUUCUCAUUCCAGUAAUCAGGGGUUCGAAUCCCCUACGCGCUA
rnacentral:tRNA from 1 species